UCCAAAAGGUCCUCAGAAAUAGGCAGCACUCCCUUAUCUCCUCCCAGCACUGACACAGGGCAGGAAGGACAAAGACGGAGAUGACUCUGGCCUCAAAACUCCCCUUAGAGGGAGACCGUAACCAACCAGCCAUCAUCAAAGUUCCUUCCAGGAUAAGCCCUUUUGCCCCUUCAUCCCAACUUUCUCCAUGAUGCAUUUGGAAAUGUGUGGAAAGUGAUGUAAUCUUCGAGAAAAAAAUGUUAACAAUGAAAUCAUCUUAAUCAUAAGCUCACCUCCCAUCUUAUGAGGAAAACCUUUUAAGCCACAGGAACCUUUCU